UUUCCAGCAGCAGCCUCAAAAGUUC
rnacentral:misc_RNA from 1 species